rnacentral:rRNA from 1 species
GACGAACGCUGGCGGCGUGCUUAACACAUGCAAGUCGAACGGAAAGGCCCUGCUUUUGUGGGGUGCUCGAGUGGCGAACGGGUGAGUAACACGUGAGUAACCUGCCCUUGACUUUGGGAUAACUUCAGGAAACUGGGGCUAAUACCGGAUAGGAGCUCCUGCUGCAUGGUGGUGGUUGGAAAGUUUCGGCGGUUGUGGAUGGACUCGCGGCUUAUCAGCUUGUUGGUGUGGUAGUGACUUACCAAGGGUUUGACGGGUAGCCGGCCUGAGAGGGUGACCGGCGACAUGGGGACUGAGGUACGGACCAGAAGGCAACGGGAGGCAGCAGGGGAGAAUAUUGCGCAGUGGGGGGAAGCCUGAUGCAGCAACGCCGCGUGCGGGAUGACGGCCUUCGGGUUGUAAACAGAUGUGGCAUGUGACGAAGAGAGAGUGACGGUAAUGGGUAAGGAAGCACCGGCUAACUACGUG